rnacentral:rRNA from 1 species
UACAGAGGGGGCAAGCGUUGUUCGGAAUUACUGGGCGUAAAGGGCGCGUAGGCGGCCCGCUAAGUCGAACGUGAAAUCCCCGGGCUCAACCCGGGAACUGCGUCCGAUACUGGUGGGCUUGAAUCCGGGAGAGGGAUGCGGAAUUCCAGGUGUAGCGGUGAAAUGCGUAGAUAUCUGGAGGAACACCAAUAGCGAAGGCAGCUCGCUGGGACGGUACUGACGCUAAGGCGCGAAAGCGUGGGGAGCGAACAGG